AAGAAGAAGAAGAAGAAAGACAUCAAUGAGCUUUGAGGGAGAUCGACAUCAUUCACGAUGUAAUUGGCAGUCAUGUCUAACAUGAUCAUUGCAAAUGGAGCUGACCAUGGACAGUCCGAGACUUUUGAGCGGAAAUGCAGAUCGAGAGGUUGGUUGCGACUCAUUCUACAUUCCCAUGAUAUGGUGAUGAAACUAUUUUGGCUUUCUGUAUAUUAUGGUGAUGAAACUACAUUCCCAAGAUAUGGUGAUGAAACUAUAUAAAUUGAGGAACAUACAGAUCACGUGUUGUGGAAUUACUGUAGAACUAAGAUGCAGAAACUGAAAUGAUUUCUCC